rnacentral:lncRNA from 1 species
GUAUUCAAGUGUCAAGGAAUGCACCUCAUUCUUUUGACACUUGAAUACCAGCAUUCAAGAUGCUGAUCGAAUACUAGGGUCCUGCUGCUUAGCAAGUUUGAAUUUGCCCCAUUCAGUGGUAAGAUGAUUGUUGCAGUUGGAAUGUAAAUUUCGGAAUGUAAUGUAAUGUCUAAUGCAAUGUAAUGUGAUAACAUAUAUUUUGUUUUGAAUGGAACAAUAAUUAUCUUAUUUAUUCACUUUUCAAA